UACGGGGGGGGCAAGCGUUGUUCGGAAUUACUGGGCGUAAAGGGCUUGUAGGUGGCCAACUAAGUCAGACGUGAAAUCCCUCGGCUUAACCGGGGAACUGCGUCUGAUACUGGAUGGCUUGAGUUUGGGAGAGGGAUGCGGAAUUCCAGGUGUAGCGGUGAAAUGCGUAGAUAUCAGGAGGAACACCGGUGGUGUAGACGGCUUACUGGACCACGACUGACACUGAGGCACGAAAGCGUGGGUAGCAAACAGG
rnacentral:rRNA from 1 species